rnacentral:lncRNA from 1 species
AGGGGUGCCCCUUAGCUCUGUCCUCAUGGCUCUUUGAUCGAGAGAGGGAGAGAAAGAGCGGGGGGGGGGGAGGCUAGGGUUUCACCGUAUCCUUCACGUGCAUGGGAGGCCCUUGUGUGGUGGAGGGAAUGACACGUGGCGGGUGAGGGUUGGAUGGCCGAGGAUUGGGGAGCUAGAGAUGUACCUUGAAGGGAAUAGGUUUGCCGAGAUGGGAGGGGGGCCGGGCCGUUGAGUGCUGGAAAUCUCAAGAGGAUAUGGUGGUGAGCUUUUUAAAUCUAGUAGAGUGGAUGAGGGAGAGGGGAUGGAGGGGGGCGUGCGGGUCUUGUUUAGUAGUCUCUACAGAAGUUUUGGGUCUAUAUAUAGGGAUCUACAAGGCCAUUCAAAUUUUGAUAGGAAUUCUAAUUUAUGGUGAACUUAGACAAUAGAACAGUUUUAGAAUGAAGGGUACUAGUGUUUUGCCAGAAAAGACAGGAUACCGCAUUUUUUUUAACUCAUUAAUCAUGCAGCAUGGAUGUCUUCUUCUUCACCAAAAGACAUUGAUUGAGGCGUACUAAAAAUACACCAAGUUGAUCACAAGGAAGCUCAAUCCAUGAGCAUAGCUAACCGGCCGCAAGGGCACCAUAAGGUAUCACAUAUUACAUGAACCAACCAUAAAAUUUGAGUCAGAUUCCAGCUAGUUCAUGUAUCGCGGAUGGAUAGCACAAAAUUCGUUAUUGUAGUUUAAGGUUAAUAUGCAUUUCAAUUCUUCCACAAGUGAUGGUAUGAUCAUGCACAAUUAGACGAAUCCAUGCUGCCAAAUCACUUUGGCUUAUAACAUGUACCAUGACAUGCAUGUACAUGUAUGCCUUCUUUGAGUAUAGAGUUUUCCUUUAUAUGUGG